CAGCCGCCGCGGUAAUACGAAGGGUGCAAGCGUUACUCGGAAUUACUGGGCGUAAAGCGUGCGUAGGUGGUGGUUUAAGUCCGUUGUGAAAGCCCUGGGCUCAACCUGGGAAUUGCAGUGGAUACUGGGUCACUAGAGUGUGGUAGAGGAUAGUGGAAUUUCCGGUGUAGCAGUGAAAUGCGUAGAGAUCGGAAGGAACAUUUGUGGCGAAGGCGACUAUCUGGGCCAACACUGACACUGAGGCACGAAAGCGUGGGGAGCAAACAGGAUUAGAUACCCCGGUAGUCCCUGUCUCUUAUAC
rnacentral:rRNA from 1 species